GAUGAACGCUGGCGGCGUGCCUAAUACAUGCAAGUCGAGCGAACGGACGAGAAGCUUGCUUCUCUGAUGUUAGCGGCGGACGGGUGAGUAACACGUGGAUAACCUACCUAUAAGACUGGGAUAACUUCGGGAAACCGGAGCUAAUACCGGAUAAUAUUUUGAACCGCAUGGUUCAAAAGUGAAAGACGGUCUUGCUGUCACUUAUAGAUGGAUCCGCGCUGCAUUAGCUAGUUGGUAAGGUAACGGCUUACCAAGGCAACGAUGCAUAGCCGACCUGAGAGGGUGAUCGCUCACACUGGAACGGAGACACGGUCCACACUCCUACGAGAGGCAGCAGUAGGGAAUCUUCCGCAAUGGGCGAAAGCCUGACGGAGCAACGCCGCGUGAGUGAUGAAGGUCUUCGGAUCGUAAAACUCUGUUAUUAGGGAAGAACAUAUGUGUAAGUAACUGUGCACAUCUUGACGGUACCUAAUCAGAAAGCCACGGCUAACUCCGUG
rnacentral:rRNA from 1 species